rnacentral:rRNA from 1 species
GUAUAUUAUCCGAAAUACUAACAAGCCGCGUUCUUAAAUAUUUGUCUUUCUAAAGAUUUCAACAAAUGACUAUAUACGAAGCAAAAUGAGUGAAUCUACGCUCUCAAAUAUAUCUAUAUACAUCCGUAUGUGAUAGCCAUUUGAAAUCUCUAAAAAAACAAAUGUUUAGGAAGGAAGAGAGUAUAAUAUAAUGAGGAAGGAUUGUGGCCUCUGCUAUGUAUGAGCAUUACUAAUCACAGGAGGACAUGUGCGGGAUUAUGGGCUAAUUUGCAUGCACCAUAAUUAGAGGGUGCCAAUUGGGGCAUUAUUAAGCCGCUAAUACAAUCAAACGACUGUUGCGAGGCCGGGCGUCGGAGCAAACCAAGAGCCGGGAGCGCACGGCGCGCCCUCGACGGACACACCGCCAACAGCUGCAUCUAGGUGCGGCCCCACUUCACCACACCACCAGCCCUGCCCCGGCGCACUCCAGGAGGCCUCGGCGCGGAGAGGCGUGAGAUCGUCAAUGGGGGAAUCAGGGGCGGGAGGGCGGAUCCGUGCUCGCUCGAUCUGGCGCCAUGGUCCCUGGGGGAUUGCAUGUGGAGUGGAGGAGGGAAGAGAAUGGGAGUAUGUAUGUGGCAGUGUGGGGGUGUGGAUAGAGCACGAGUGCAUGUGUGUGGCUAGAGUGAGCACGGAGGGAACUGGGGGCGGGGCGGAGAAUCCAC